UGAAUGAGAUCCAGUCAACCAAGUCUUCCCUCGAUUAUUGUUUUCGACAAUUAAAUGGAUGAUAGCCAUAAAGCAUCCUUCAAGUAGUGUCCGAAAGUGAUUAAAUUCACAUUUGAUUGAGGCAUCAAUAAUUCACAUUUGAUUAAUAAAUUAGUAAACUGGAAAGUGAUCUCAAUCAACUCCACUUUGAUGGAGCCUACCGCUAAUGAAAAAUAUUCUCGCGGUUUUUCUGUUGUGCAGCUACAGCGCACGUGAGAUGUAAAAAAAAAACUGGAUAGAAGCGUUUGAUUGUGAUCAGCGGCUGUGAAUCGAUUACCGGCUGAAGCCUUAGCCAGGAAGCCUCUUGAUUCUGAUUACCGGCACGUCCGAUCGUAUGGCAGGGUGGAUUACCGGCUGUGAGUGGAGGAUUGGGCCGAGUUCGCUGACGUCCGGUACCACGUUCAGCUGACUGCUUUCGGUUUCGCUGCCGGAAACUGUGUUCUUGAGUGGGCUUCCUGCUGGGGCUAUAGAGGCUAUAAAGGCUGCCUAUGGAUCAGUAGUGCAGAUUCUUGACCCACAUAGAGAUAGCAGGUUUAAUCUUACAUUGAAGCUCAAUCUCUCUAAACUUCCUACACAUGAAGGUUCAACGAGUUCCUUUUCUAAGAGUACAAACAUGCUCUUUUGGUAAAGAUUUCAUCUGUAAGGGAAGUGGUGCUAGGAGCUCCAUUGAGAGUACUUCUGAAGCAGCCUGCUUUGAGGUCUUUUGCUUCCGAUGUUGAUCCACUUGUUGCUCUUGUGCAUCGGCCAAAGGAAUCCUUUUUCCUUAUUCCUCAGGAGGAACUAAAAUCUGUUGAACGCCUCCAACCUGCUUCCCGAUGCUGCAAAGAGUAUGUUAGUUUUUCAAUUAACUUUUGAGGGCACCUAAUUUUAUAGUAAAAGGAACUACAACUGAAUAUCUUUCAAAUUUGUUUGUUCUAGCCAUGUAAGAAAAAUGAGGUGAUUCUCUUUAUAUAAUGUUAGUCAUCUUUGAGUAGAUUGAAUAUGAAUAUUUUGCAGGAUUGCUGAUUUUGUGACUGCGAAUCCAGAUCCAUUAAUACCAACAUAAGAAUAUCACCAAAUUUUUGUAAACUUUAGUUUGCAUUAUGUGCAUUGUGAUCAUUAUUUUGUAUUUAUCUGUCAAGCAGAAAUCGAAAGAAACGAUGAUCCUGUCGCUUUUGGAAAUGGCUCUGUGGAAUGCCCUGUUUUAGCUUGUCAUUGAUUUGCUGUUGCUGCUGUUGUGAUGGGUCCUCUCUUACCUAGAAAUGCCACGCUGCUCCUGCUGCGGUUCAUGCAACAGUUCAGGCUGUGGUUCAUGCAGCGGUAAAUGCUGUGGUUACAAGGGUUCAUGAUGCGGUCCAUGGAACCGUAAUUCGUGUUUCAGUUGCCCUUCACUACCAAAGUGGCAAUGUUGCUGCUCAUGUCCCCGAUCCCGUUACUGCAAAACUAGUUCAUGUUCAUGCAGCAGAAAUUGCUGCAUUUUACCAUCAUGUUCGUGUUCAUGUCCCGAUUGCUCUUGUUUGAAUUGUUUCAAAUGGAAAUGCUCUUGUCCUAAAUGUCCUUGUUCAAUGUCCUUGCUGUUGUAAAAUAACCUGCUGUAACCCUUGCAUUACAUGUUUGUAGUCUUCAUGACAUCUCUUAUGGAAGCUCUGUAUCAUGGCUUUUUCAUAUUUAACUAUUCUAGAUAUGCUGCAAAUAUUCAGGUAUUCAUAAAAUUGAGUUUAUGAAAUAAAUUUUAUAGUAUUAGCCUCUUCAUUA